rnacentral:rRNA from 1 species
UUUAAAUGUAAAAUAAGUAUACUAAAGUAGUAAUAGUUAUGUUCUUGAAAUUUAAAGAUUUUGGCGGUAUUUUAGUCUAUUUAGAGGAGCCUGUUCUGUAAUUGAUAAUCCACGAUUAAUUUUACUUAAUUUAUAUAAAUUUGUAUACCGUCGUUAUAAGAAGAUUUUAAAAGAAUAUAAAUUUUUAAUAUUUUAUAUAAAAAAAUAUAUCAGAUCAAGGUGCAGUUUAUAGUUAAGAAGAAAUGGGCUACAAUAAAUUUAUUUAUUUAUACGGAUUAAAGUAGGAAUAUGACUUUAUAAAGGUGGAUUUAAUAGUAAUAAAAUUAAUUUAAAUUUUAUGAUUUUAGCUCUAAAAUAUG